rnacentral:tRNA from 2 species
GCGGCCGUGGCGGAAUUGGUAGACGCGUCAGACUAAGGAUCUGGUGGGAGGUAAUCCCGUGGAAGUUCGAGUCUUCUCGGCCGCACCA